CAGGGUGAAUAGCACCAGUGGCCACAGCGCCAUGUCGUUGCCGAUCUCGUCGAGCUAUGCCAGACGACUGAAGCGACCUAACCGACUGAUCCAACCUGAUUGAAAGCUAAUCUCCGAGAGAACACGAGUUCCGAUCAUUAACCCUUUAAGGGCAAUGGGAAAGUGGCUUAUUUUACUUUUACGAAUUUUAACCUUCGGCUGUUGACUAUCGUUUGCAGAAACUCUUUUCCAUAGUUCAUUGAUUGGUUAUACAGUGCCUAUGGAUGGGAGGACUUCCAAUAUCAAGCAGGAAACCAUCUGGAACACUACCUAGAUUACAAUAAGUAUCCUUUCCUGUCUGGAUCACAGCAUUUGAAGGACCUUGACCUUUUAUUUUUCUGAUUUAUUUAGUUUUUAAACUUUUCUUUUACAUUUCUGUUAAUACUAAUUUUGUAUCUUCUUCGCUUCUUUUAUAUACUAUAGUUUGCCCUAUUAAAUUGAUUUAAAACAUAA